rnacentral:misc_RNA from 1 species
UGGUUCUGGCAUCGAUGAAGAACGCAGCGAAAUGCGAUAAGUAAUGUGAAUUGCAGAAUUUAGUGAAUCAUCGAAUCUUUGAACGCACAUUGCGCCCUGUGGUAUUCCGCAGGGCAUGCCUGUUCGAGCGUCAUUAGUCCCCUCAAGCCUCGCUUGGUCUUGGGGCCUGCCGUGGGGCAGCCCUUAAACGCAGUGGCAGCGCCGUGAGGCUCGAAGCGUAGUACCCUCUCUCGCUCUCGAGUCCCCGCGGAGGCUCGCCAGUCAACCCCCCCCUUCUAACUCUCUCGAUUGACCUCGGAUCAGGUAGGGAUACCCGCUGA